GAUGAACGCUGGCGGCGUGCCUAAUACAUGCAAGUCGAGCGAACGGACGAGAAGCUUGCUUCUCUGAUGUUAGCGGCGGACGGGUGAGUAACACGUGGAUAACCUACCUAUAAGGCUGGGAUAACUUCGGGAAACCGGAGCUAAUACCGGAUGAUAUUUUGAACCGCAUGGUUCAAAAGUGAAAGACGGUCUUGCUGUCACUUAUAGAUGGAUCCGCGCUGCAUUAGCUAGUUGGUAAGGUAACGGCUUACCAAGGCAACGAUGCAUAGCCGACCUGAGAGGGUGAUCGGCCACACUGGAACUGAGACCCGGUCCAGACUCCUACGGGAGGCAGCAGUAGGGAAUCUUCCGCAAUGGUCGAAAGCCUGACGGAGCAACGCCGCGUGAGUGAUGAAGGUCUUCGGAUCGUAAAACUCUGUUAUUAGGGAAGAACAUAUGUGUAAGUAACUGUGCACAUCUUGACGGUACCUAAUCAGAAAGCCACGGCUAACUACGUG
rnacentral:rRNA from 1 species